AUGGCCUGGACAUCUCUUCUCCUUGUGCUUCUCUCCCACUGCACAGGUUCCCUCUCCCAGUCUGUGCUGACUCAGCCGCCCUCCCUCUCUGCAUCCCUGGGAGCAUCAGCCAGACUCACCUGCACCCUGAGCAGUGACAUCGGUGUUGGUGGGAAAACUGUAUACUGGUACCAGCAGAAGCCAGGGAGCAAUCCCCGGUAUCUCCUGAGCUACUACUCAGAGUCAAGUAAGCACCAGGGCUCUGGAGUCCCCAGCCGCUUCUCUGGAUCCAAAGAUGCCUCAACUAACUCAGGGAUUCUGCACAUCUCUGGGCUGCAGCCUGAGGAUGAGGCUGACUAUUACUGUAAGAUAUGGCAUGACAGCGCUAAUGCUCACACAGUGCUCCAGACCCACAGGGAAGUGAGAAAAAACCCUCCUCCACUCUCCCAGCCUGGUACCUUCACCCUGCUGGUGGCUCUGAUGAAUCCGAGGACCCCUAACCAGGGUGAUCCAAGGUGCUCAGCACCCACGUUCCUCAGGCGGGUCACAGGCCCUGGAGGGAUUGUGGCUGUGGGCCCAGCAGAUGGCGCUGUGGGCUGUUCUGAGUAG